UACGUAGGGUGCAAGCGUUGUCCGGAAUUAUUGGGCGUAAAGAGCUCGUAGGCGGUCUGUCACGUCGGCUGUGAAAUCCCGAGGCUCAACCUCGGGUCUGCAGUCGAUACGGGCAAACUAGAGUACUGCAGGGGAGACUGGAAUUCCUGGUGUAGCGGUGAAAUGCGCAGAUAUCAGGAGGAACACCGGUGGCGAAGGCGGGUCUCUGGGCCGAAAUUGACGCUGAGGAGCGAAAGCGUGGGGAGCAAACAGG
rnacentral:rRNA from 1 species